GCGGGAUUGGUUUAGUGGUAGAAUGACUGCCUUCCAAGCAGUAGACAAGAGUUCGAUUCUCUUAUCCCGCACCA
rnacentral:tRNA from 1 species